rnacentral:rRNA from 1 species
UAGGGAAUCUUCGGCAAUGGGGGGAACCCUGACCGAGCAACGCCGCGUGAGUGAAGAAGGUUUUCGGAUCGUAAAGCUCUGUUGUUAAGGAAGAACGAGUGUGAGAAUGGAAAGUUCAUACUGUGACGGUACUUAACCAGAAAGGGACGGCUAACUACGUGCCAGCAGCCGCGGUAAUACGUAGGUGGCAAGCGUUGUCCGGAUUUAUUGGGCGUAAAGCGAGCGCAGGCGGUCAAUUAAGUCUGAUGUGAAAGCCCACGGCUCAACCGUGGAGGGUCAUUGGAAACUGGAAAACUUGAGUGCAGAAGAGGAAAGUGGAAUUCCAUGUGUAGCGGUGAAAUGCGCAGAGAUAUGGAGGAACACCAGUGGCGAAGGCGACUUUCUGGUCUGUAACUGACGCUGAUGUGCGAAAGCGUGGGGAUCAAACAGG